rnacentral:rRNA from 1 species
GUGGGGAAUCUUGCGCAAUGGGCGAAAGCCUGACGCAGCCAUGCCGCGUGAAUGAUGAAGGUCUUAGGAUUGUAAAAUUCUUUCACCGGGGACGAUAAUGACGGUACCCGGAGAAGAAGCCCCGGCUAACUUCGUGCCAGCAGCCGCGGUAAUACGAAGGGGGCUAGCGUUGCUCGGAAUUACUGGGCGUAAAGGGCGCGUAGGUGGACAGUUUAGUCAGAGGUGAAAGCCCAGGGCUCAACCUUGGAAUUGCCUUUGAUACUGGCUGUCUUGAGUACGGGAGAGGUGAGUGGAACUCCGAGUGUAGAGGUGAAAUUCGUAGAUAUUCGGAAGAACACCAGUGGCGAAGGCGACUCACUGGCCCGUUACUGACGCUGAGGCGCGAAAGCGUGGGGAGCAAACAGGAUUAGAAACCCCUGUAGUCC